GGUGAGCCGGACGCAGGCGUGCCUGCGCAGUGCGCGGAGGAGUGCUGUUCGUGUGUUCGAGUCCCUGGGUUGCUUCCUGGGGUCUGUGGUGCUGGGUGUGCUAUCUGCGUGUGAUUCUCUAGCGAGAGAUUGUGGGCGAGUGACCGAGUGGGCAAGGGGCCGUCACUGUGUGUGCGUGAUUUUGACAGUGUGUGGUGGUAGCUUCUGACUCCGCGUGGGUCGUUGAAUGUAUGACUGGGACCGUUUAGCGGUGGAUACACAACUGUGUGCGGCUGUGGAAGAUUGCCUCAUCCGUUACGUUCCCAUUUCCGUGGAACAACAGUUUUACCAGAAGGUUUCGAAGGAACCUUAAAGUUUGGAAGCGUAAGAGUUUAUCUGGCGGCUUUGGUGUCAUCAAAUGUGAGAAGCCCUGGACUUUACACAUCCCGAGCCAGUGUGAUCCAGUAUGAUUGGGAGUCCGAGUGCCAGAUGCCGGUCAGGACCUGUUAUGCUGGGUCUCAGAAUGCGGAAACUCUCCCUGUCCGAGGUGGAACAGUUUGUCCUUGAGUGAGGACUGGAGUCCUGAGUGACUCUUUUGAUUUGAUCCUGUUUCCCUCAAACCUGAGAUGGGAGCCUCACUGUAUUGCCCAGGCUGGUCUUGAACUCCGGAGCUCAAGUGAUCGUCUUGCUUCAGCCUUGCAAAAUGAUGGUGAAGCUGCAUCAUUGUCUGGGGUAAAUACCUGAGGUUCGUUGUCUCACGCCAAGGGAAUCAAGGACGUGGACACACAAGAAAUGGAGUCCCUGUCUGACCGGGCCAUGUUGUAUGUUCCUUGCUGUACACGUGGUUGACAAAGAAAAGGGAAGAUGGAGCUGCGAUGUUGGACAUGCCUGGCCCCCAGGUAGCUUUUUCCUAUUGGCACAGCUGCUGGCAUUCACCCGUGCAAACUUCCAGCUUGCUUAUCUAUGUCUGCAGCUUGAUUUUUCAGGCUGCUGUUUGUUAGAAAAGAAAUGACUUGGGGGCUGCUUUUCAUUAAAAGGAAAACCUUACCGGGGAUUUCCUUACCCUCACUAUCUGCCUAAAUAAUUUCUUUUUAACUCCUAUGUCACUUGGGAUUACAGGCAUGAGCCGCUGUGCCUGCUAGAGGGUUUUUUAUCUUUAUUCCUCAAGAUUUUGCAUUUAGAUAAUUAUGUUAAACUUGGGUGUGCUAGGUAGACAUACGUCUGCUGAUUACCUGUUUAGGAAGAAUGUGGAUUCGUACGUAGGGAAAAGGAGUCAGGCUGGUGGGACCAGGGGAAAGCAAAGAGAUAAAGCAAAUAAGCUAUAGAUCUGCAUUUUCUUCAUGGUCCAGGAUAUAUAAACAAAAAAAGGAAGCAGAUAAGCUAUAGGCUUGCUUUUCUUUAUGACCCAGGACAUACAGCCCUGCCGAGCAAAUAAUGAACGUAACUCACAAACUUCCUGCUUAUCAUCAAACGCACGCAUCCACUUAUCAUCAAACACCUCGGGUGACAGAAGAAUGCAGGUCAGCUCCCUGCUGCCUUGGCAUUAUCAAUCAGCCCAGGAACCAUCCUAUAAAAUCUCCAGCAAGCCUUUGUUUCCUUGCAGUCAGCUCCUCUUCCACUGAUUCUGCCUGUUGCUCCCUGAUAACAUACUUUGAUACUGUCUUUAAUAAAUCUGCCUUUCUUCACAAAAAAAAAAAAAAAAAAAAAAAAAA
rnacentral:lncRNA from 1 species